rnacentral:rRNA from 1 species
UAGGGAAUCUUUCGCAAUGGACGCAAGUCUGACGGAGCAACGCCGCGUGAGUGAAGAAGGAUUUCGGUUCGUAAAACUCUGUUGUUAGAGAAGAACAGCGCAUAGAGUAACUGUUAUGCGUGUGACGGUAUCUAACCAGAAAGCCACGGCUAACUACGUGCCAGCAGCCGCGGUAAUACGUAGGUGGCAAGCGUUGUCCGGAUUUAUUGGGCGUAAAGCGAGCGCAGGCGGUCAAUUAAGUCUGAUGUGAAAGCCCCCGGCUCAACCGGGGAGGGUCAUUGGAAACGGGUUGACUUGAGUGCAGAAGGGGAGAGGGGAUUUCCAUGUGUAGCGGUGAAAUGCGUAGAUAUAGGAAGGAACACCAGUGGCGAGGGGGACUCUCUGGUCUGUAACUGACGCGGGGGUUCGAAAGCGUGGGUAGAAAACAGG